rnacentral:rRNA from 1 species
UACAGAGGGUGCGAGCGUUGUCCGGAAUCACUGGGCGUAAAGGGCGCGUAGGUGGCGACCCAAGUCGAUGGUGAAAGCUCGCCGCUCAACGGCGAGUCGGCCACCGAUACUGGGUUGCUGGAGCACUGUAGAGGGCAGAUGGGAAUUCCGGGAUGUAGCGGUGGAAUGCGUAGAGAUCCGGAAGAACACCGGUGGCGAAGGCGGUCUGCUGGG